AGCGAACGCUGGCGGCAGGCCUAACACAUGCAAGUCGAACGAACUCUUCGGAGUUUGUGGCGGACGGGUGAGUAACACGUGGGAACGUGCCUUUUGGUUCGGAGUAACUCAGGGAAACUUGUGCUAAUACCGAAUGUGCUCUUCGGGGGAAAGAUUUAUCGCCAUUAGAGCGGCCCGCGUCUGAUUAGUUAGUUGGUGAGGUAACGGCUCACCAAGGCGACGAUUAGUAGCUGGUCUGAGAGGAUGACUAGCCACACUGGGACUGAGACACGGCCCAGACUCCUACGGGAGGCAGCAGUGGGGAAUCUUGCGCAAUGGGCGAAAGCCUAACGCAGCCGUGCCGCGUAAAAGGUGAAGGUCUUAGGAUUGUAAAAUUCUUUCACCGGGGGCGAUAAUGACGGUACCCGGAGAAGAAGCCCCGGCUAACUACGUG
rnacentral:rRNA from 1 species